rnacentral:lncRNA from 1 species
GUGGGUCGGAAGCCCAUUCGAUCGCACCCGGCCCAAAUGGUAUUGCCUCGAGAUGGAAACCUCGUUUGGUUUGCAGAUGCUUCGGCUGCUUCCUUGUUCCUACGUGCCAAUGAACCUUACGCCACGUCAGCUACCGACUCCUAACCUCAACUGUUAUUUGCUCACCAAAAAUACACCCUUAAGCCAUAAUUUGGAAAUGUUAAGCAUUUAGCACUUAUUAGUUAUUAACAUCAACAUGAUGUUGAUAAAAAUAUUUUUCUGAUUAACACUUUUAUCUUUAUUUUAAGUUAAUAUAUAAUAUUAAGAUAAGUUGUCAAAAUUUUUUACUUUUUUUAAGGUAAAACAUAUUAAUAAAAACUAUAAACAAUAAUAUAUAUAAGCGAUAAUUAAGACACUACACACUAAUGCACACAAACGCCGUGUCUUUGAUUAAACCGUUGAAAAUUGUAUCUUAGCUACUCUAUUGUCAAACCAUCUAAUGAUGAACUCUAGUCAACUAAGUAGCCACUACCGAAAGCUCAAGAGAAAUAUCACAUCAGUAACGCACAAAAGACCAAGUCUUAAAUAGACUAUCUUUAUCAUCUCAUAUUCUAAUUUUACAAACAACGUCAUUAUGUUCUAUUAUGAUAAAGCCCUCUAAGAAUUGUUUCUCAUAGAUCUAGCAACACUUUUACCUAGACAAAUUUCAUAUAUACGUUAGAACAUAUCUGCAAAUUAAAAACUAAAACUAAAAUCAUUGGUGCUUCCACAAAAAAACAGAAUGAACAAAACAAAAAUCACAAAAAUAUGAACUAAAAUUAAAAAUAAAAGAAAAAUAAUAAAAUAUUGUCGAAGAAAUCAUACCCAACAACCAACCUAAAGAUUAACACCAUCACCGAUAAAGCAAAGAUUUGAUUUGAAAAUGUUGAGCCACUAAGGUUUUUGUUAUGGAAAGUGAAGUCGUUACUAUGGGGGAUUGGCUUCAAAGUAUAGACCAAGCGAAGGGAGGGGAGGCAAGGGUAAGAUGAGAGUAUGAGCGGAAGGGGAUAUAGACUC